rnacentral:rRNA from 1 species
UACCGAGGAUGCGAGCGUUAUCCGGAUUUAUUGGGUUUAAAGGGUGCGCAGGCGGCACGGCAAGCCGGCGGUCAAAUCGCGGGGCUCAACCCCGCCCAGCCGUCGGAACUGCCGGGCUAGAGUGGGCGAGAAGUGCGCGGAAUGCGUGGUGUAGCGGUGAAAUGCAUAGAUAUCACGCAGAACUCUGAUUGCGAAGGCAGCGCACCGGCGCCCUACUGACGCUCAGGCACGAAAGCGUGGGUAUCGAACAGG